rnacentral:lncRNA from 1 species
CAGGCAAUCCGCUCAUCUUGGCCUCCCAAAGUGCUAGGAUUACAGGAGUUAGCCACUGCUCCCGGCCAGCUGUAAGGUCUUGAGAAGACUGCUGGUGAAGGCUGGGAGGACUGAAAAUUGUCACUGGAGCCUGGAGAAAAGGUCUUUGGACCCAGAUUGGAACUAUACCAUUGGCUCUCCUGGGUUUCAAGCUUGCUUGCUGACUGCAGAUCUUGGGACUUCUCAGCCUCCAUAAUUAUGGAAUGAAGAAGCCUGAAUCUAUGCUGCAAACUCUGGUUUCCACAAGCCUCGUGAAAGAUGAAGAAAGAAGGCUAAGAAGGCUUCCUCCCAAUGGGAUGAUGGUAAGUCUGAAAUCCCAGUUGAUCUGGUGAGAUAUGAAAAAGGGUGAGAUAAUUGUGCUGAGAAAUCAUCUCAGUUUACAGGCACGCACAUCUUCAACACAAAAUGGAGGCUGAUGAGAGUUCAGUUCAAUGACUGUUUCCAACACUAGAGUGGGGCUAUGAAUUGGCAUCAUCCUAGAGAAAUUUCAAGUGGCUUAAGUGGACUUGAAAACAGUACUGUCCUCUCACUUUUUGUCAUUUAGUUUCUUAGAGUCAGAGAUAAUGUCUAAAAAAGGGCAUUUCUCAUAAUAAUUUGUGACCAGGAGAAUCAAUAAAAAAGGAUUUCCCUUGCCAGGAUUUUCAGAGAGAAAACUAUGCUUACAGUCCACAGAAUGACAAAUAUUCAUUGUGUGAUGCUAAUAAAAGUGUAAGGCAUUUUAAAAUUCAAGGGUAUUUUCUUAUAACCAUCUUCUUCAAAGAACUUUGAUCUCUAGUUACCUUAUAUGAUUGAAAACAAUGACUAAAUGAAAUGCUUGUCUCCUCCAAGAAUGGAAUAUAAAGUAUUUACAUAAAUCGAUAUUGCUGGAAAAAAAUCUGCAGAUUCCUUAUGCUUGGGUUCACAUGAAAUAAGUAACUUUCUUCCCCAAAAAGCCAGCUGUGUGAUUACUAAGAGACCAAGUCACAUGGUUUGGAUCUGUGUCCCCCUCCAAAUCUCAUGCUUAGUUGUAAUCCCCAAUGUUGAAGGUGGGGCCUUGUGGGGAGUGAUUUGGUCAUGGGGAUGGUUUCUCGUGAAUAGCUUAGCACUAUCCCUUCUUGAUAUUGUCCUCAUGAUAGUGAGUGAAUUCGUGUGAGAUCUGGUCAUUUAAAAGUGUGUGGUGGCUGGGCGCCGUGGC